AUUGAACGCUGGCGGCAUGCUUUACACAUGCAAGUCGAACGGCAGCGCGGGCUUCGGCCUGGCGGCGAGUGGCGAACGGGUGAGUAAUACAUCGGAACGUGCCCAGUAGUGGGGGAUAGCUCGGCGACAGCCGGAUUAAUACCGCAUACGACCUGAGGGUGAAAGCGGGGGAUCUUCGGACCUCGCGCUAUUUGAGCGGCCGUUGGCAGAUUAGCUAGUUGGUGGGGUAAAGGCCUACCAAGGCGACGAUCUGUAGCUGGUCUGAGAGGACGACCAGCCACACUGGGACUGAGACACGGCCCAGACUCCUACGGGAGGCAGCAGUGGGGAAUUUUGGACAAUGGGCGAAAGCCUGAUCCAGCAAUGCCGCGUGUGUGAUGGAGGCCUUCGGGUUGUAAAGCACUUUUGGCGGGAACGAAAAGGACUGUGCCAAUACCACGGUUCGAUGACGGUACCCGCAGAAUAAGCACCGGCUAACUACGUG
rnacentral:rRNA from 1 species